CGCUUUAAAAUUAUGAAAUACCUGAUGGCUAGAUUAGACGAAGGGAGUCGAGUUGUGAGGUAAUCACGAUCAGUAGAUCUGACUAGUAAAUGUUUUCCUCAUCAAAAAGAAUUAAUUAAUCGAGUCCCAGCUAUUUCAAAACGUGAUUUCGUUGCUUGUCUGCUUGCUGUCUUCACAGUUGUCGACGCAGCAAUGUUGGAUCGUGUGAAGUUAACCAUAACAUGCAUACCUCGAAGCACUCUGUAAUCAUUUAAGGAGGCAUUCAUCUAAAUAUCGCAUCUUUUAUCCUUCCGAAUCUAUAAAACGCAAUUUUGAAAUUAUAUCGGUCUGCGAAAGCGAUAACUGAAAAAUGCUAUGAGCUAGACAGAUAAAAUUUGCUCACUACACCUACGCCACUGGGGGACCGCAGCACCUUGAAAAAAUUAGAAGCAGCACAUACCCUGGAAAAGUUUGCCCAUCCCUGCCUUAGUUAGUAAAUGUGUAUAGCGAUAUUUAUUUUCGUGAACACGAUUAAAGAUACGAAAUUUCGUAAAUACGAUCUAAUUAACCCUUGCGAAGGCCAUGGGAAGUAUGCUUCCCACCAAAUUUAUCAAUCUUUGUA